rnacentral:rRNA from 1 species
GUGUCAGCCGCCGCGGUAAUACGUAGGGGGCGAGCGUUGUCCGGAUUUACUGGGCGUAAAGCGCGUGUAGGCGGCGGCUUAAGUCGGGUGUGAAAGCCCGGGGCUCAACCCCGGGAUGCCGCCCGAGACUGGAUCGCUUGAGGACGGAAGAGGGGCGUGGAAUUCCUGGUGUAGCGGUGAAAUGCGUAGAGAUCAGGAGUAACACCCGUGGCGAAAGCGGCUCUCUGGACCACAACUGACGCUGAGGCGCGAAAGCUAGGGGAGCAAACAGGAUUAGAAACCCCAGUAGUCC